GGCUUAGCAUGGUAUAGUGGUUUGAGCAUUGGACUAUGACUCUGGAGGCCAGGGUUCAAUUCCCAGCUCGACCA